GUCAAAUAAUAUUUGUUUUGACCCUGCACAAAUAUCAAAAUACUUCCGGCAUUUGAAAGCCCCUCUUUUGAGUAAUUUCCCUGAAUUCCAUUUCUGUAAGCAGUUGCUGAGGCAUUAUUGGUCCAUAUAUCCAGCAGUUGAUUGGCAUUGCUUGAGUUCCAGAUACCAGGCAUUCUUAUAUGUAUGAUCUCAUUUAAUUCCCCUGAGGAGGACAUUGCUUCUGUUUCACAAUGAGGGAACUGAUUUGGAGAGAUUAAAUGACUUGUCCAAGAAUACACAGCCAGUCGAUGGAGGCUUAUCUCCAAAGUCACAGCCACUUAUAGGGCCCCUUACCCAUGAGGCUGUGAAGGUCCAUAGAAGGAAGUGAAGUCAAUAGUGAAUCAUCAGAGCCUGGAUCUGGCCCUGCAGAAAACAUUUGUGAAUGAAUCAAUGAGUAAGUAAACGAAUGAGUAAAUAAGUGAAUGAAUCUCUGCCACAAAGGACAAGGCCUCUAUCUCCUUCCCUCCAUAUUCCAGUAUUCUGAUUCUUAGAUACUGCACUGAGAGCUGUCGACCCAAGACAUCCUCCCGGGUCACACUCCUCACCCCACAGGCCACCAUGUAGUUAUGCAGCACACAGGACCCAAGUGCCAACAACCCCCUGAGCAGAAAGCUAUAAAGAGCUAUCUUCAUUCCUGGAGAGCUUGUUGCUGCUGGCUGAAUGCCAGAGUCCAGGUA
rnacentral:lncRNA from 1 species